rnacentral:rRNA from 1 species
GAUGAACGCUGGCGGCGUGCCUAAUACAUGCAAGUCGAGCGAACGGACGAGAAGCUUGCUUCUCUGAUGUUAGCGGCGGACGGGUGAGUAACACGUGGAUAACCUACCUAUAAGACUGGGAUAACUUCGGGAAACCGGAGCUAAUACCGGGUAAUAUUUUGAACCGCAUGGUUCAAAAGUGAAAGACGGUCUUGCUGUCACUUAUAGAUGGAUCCGCGCUUCAUUAGCUAGUUGGUAAGGUAACGGCUUACCAAGGCAACGAUGCAUCGCCGACCUGAGAGGGUGAUCGGCCACACUGGAACUGAGACACGGUCCAGACUCCUACGGGAGGCAGCAGUAGGGAAACUUUCGAAAUGGGCGAAAGCCUGACGGAGCAACGCCGGGUGAGUGAUGAAGGUCUUCGGAUCGUAAAACUCUGUUAUUAGGGAAGAACAUAUGUGUAAGUAACUGUGCACAUCUUGACGGUAACUAAUCAGAAAGCCACGGCUAACUACGUG